rnacentral:rRNA from 1 species
GAUGAACGCUGGCGGCGUGCUUAACACAUGCAAGUCGAACGAAGCACUUUAUUUGAUUUCCUUCGGGACUGAUUCUUUUGUGUCUGAGUGGCGGACGGGUGCGUAACGCGUGGGUAACCUGCCUUGUACAGGGUGAUAACAGUAGGAAACGGCUGCUAAUACCGCAUAAGCGCACAGGACCGCAUGAUGCAGUGUGAAAAACUCCGGUGGAAUAAGAUGGACGCGCGUUGGAUUAGCUAGUCGGUGAGGUAACGGCCCACCAAGGCGACGAGCCAUACCCGAGCUGAGAGGCUGCCCGGCCACAAUGGGACUAAGACACAGCCCAAAAUCCUACGGAAGGCAGGAGAGGAGAAUAUAGCACACGGGGGGAAAGCCUGAUGACGCGACGCCGGGUGAGCGAAGAAGUAGUUCGGUAAGUGAAGCUGUAUCAGACGGGAAGAUAAUGACGGUACCUGACGAAGAAGCACCGGCUAAAUACGUG